rnacentral:rRNA from 1 species
AUUCCAGCUCCAAUAGCGUAUAUUAAAGUUGUUGCAGUUAAAAAGCUCGUAGUUGGAUUUCUGGUUAGAUGCGCCUGGCCCGCCGACGUUCAGUCGUGUGAAGUGCUGGUGCGCAACUGCCAUCCUUCUAGAGAAGGGACCAACGGUUCAUUCCGGUUCGGUUCACAAUCUAGAUCUUUUACUUUGAAAAAAUUAGAGUGUUUAAAGCAGGCUUUUGCUAUGAAUACAUAGCAUGGAACAAUAAUUUAGGACUCUGUUUCUAUUUUGUUGGUUUCCGGAAACGGAGUAAUGAUUGAUAGGGAUUGUUGGGGGUGCUAGUAUUCAGCGGCCAGAGGUGAAAUUCUCGGAUUCGCUGAAGACUAACUUAUGCGAAAGCAUUCACCAAGGAAGUCUUCAUCG